GAUGAACGCUGGCGGCAUGCCUAAUACAUGCAAGUCGAGCGACCAGACGAGCAGCUUUCUCCUUUCACGUUAGCGGCGGACGGGUGAUUUACCCGUACGUACCCUACCUAUAAGACUGAGGUAACUUCGGGAACCCUGAUAUAAUACCGGCUGAUAUUUGGAACCGCAUGGUUCGAUAGAGAAAGAUGGCUUUGCUCUCCCUUUAUGAUGGUACUGCGCCGGAUUAGCUAGUUGGUAAGGUAACGGCCUACCAAGGCGACGAUGCGUAGCCGACCUGAGAGGGUGAUCGGCCACACUGGAACUGAGACACGGUCCAGACUCCUACGGGAGGCAGCAGUGGGGAAUCUUCGGCAAUGGGCGAAAGCCUGACCGAGCCACGCCGCGUGAGUGAUGAAGGUCUUCGGAUCGUAAAACUCUGUUAGUAGGGAAGAACAAACGUGGAAGAAACCGCGGACGGCUUGACGGUACCUAAUCAGAAAGCCACGGCUAACUACGUG
rnacentral:rRNA from 1 species